CCGGAGCGGGGUGGCAGAGGUUCCGGAGGAUAUCCAGAAGCAUGGAGUGAAAAUGGAACGACGACAAACGGUCUGCUGCUUUCCAGGGAGGUCCAUCAUCAAAUUGCACUCGAAAUCGAGACGCCAAUCACCAAUGAAAUAAUAUUCAAAGCUAGGACACUUAAAUAGUUGCAGAAUGUUGAUAAUAUUCGUGUCAAAACUGAGAACCACAGCGGGAAUGCUAUUCAAGGAAAAGUUACACCACACUCUACCAUGACGUAUUCAGCGUUUUUUCAUACGGUACUUUUUCUAUCCUGCACGACCCCCGAUACUCAAGGAUGUGAAUUGAAUUGUAUCCAAUUGAAAUGGAUAUCUGAUUGGGGUAGAUAGAAAUGGCAAAACUGACAAACGCAUACACUAUCCGCAUAGGUAUCAGAGACAUGUCGUAACAACGCAGGGUGAACAUAACAAUACAUUGGAGGAUUCUCGGCCAGGAGUCACAAAGAAGGAAACCGAACGGCUAGGGAAUGAUUCGUUGUGUCAAAC